rnacentral:rRNA from 1 species
ACCCCAAACCGACACAGGUGGUCAGGUAGAGAAUACCAAGGCGCUUGAGAGAACUCGGGUGAAGGAACUAGGCAAAAUGGUGCCGUAACUUCGGGAGAAGGCACGCUGACACGUAGGUGAAGUGAUUUACUCAUGGAGCUGAAGUCAGUCGAAGAUACCAGCUGGCUGCAACUGUUUAUUAAAAACACAGCACUGUGCAAACACGAAAGUGGACGUAUACGGUGUGACGCCUGCCCGGUGCCGGAAGGUUAAUUGAUGGGGUCAGCGCAAGCGAAGCUCCUGAUCGAAGCCCCGGUAAACGGCGGCCGUAACUAUAACGGUCCUAAGGUAGCGAAAUUCCUUGUCGGGUAAGUUCCGACCUGCACGAAUGGCGUAAUGAUGGCCAGGCUGUCUCCACCCGAGACUCAGUGAAAUUGAACUCGCUGUGAAGAUGCAGUGUACCCGCGGCAAGACGGAAAGACCCCGUGAACCUUUACUAUAGCUUGACACUGAACAUUGAGCCUUGAUGUGUAGGAUAGGUGGGAGGCUUUGAAGCGUGGACGCCAGUCUGCGUGGAGCCGACCUUGAAAUACCACCCUUUAAUGUUUGAUGUUCUAACGUGGACCCGUAAUCCGGGUUGCGGACAGUGUCUGGUGGGUAGUUUGACUGGGGCGGUCUCCUCCUAAAGAGUAACGGAGGAGCACGAAGGUUGGCUAAUCCUGGUCGGACAUCAGGAGGUUAGUGCAAUGGCAUAAGCCAGCUUGACUGCGAGCGUGACGGCGCGAGCAGGUGCGAAAGCAGGUCAUAGUGAUCCGGUGGUUCUGAAUGGAAGGGCCAUCGCUCAACGGAUAAAAGGUACUCCGGGGAUAACAGGCUGAUACCGCCCAAGAGUUCAUAUCGACGGCGGUGUUUGGCACCUCGAUGUCGGCUCAUCACAUCCUGGGGCUGAAGUAGGUCCCAAGGGUAUGGCUGUUCGCCAUUUAAAGUGGUACGCGAGCUGGGUUUAGAACGUCGUGAGACAGUUCGGUCCCUAUCUGCCGUGGGCGCUGGAGAACUGAGGGGGGCUGCUCCUAGUACGAGAGGACCGGAGUGGACGCAUCACUGGUGUUCGGGUUGUCAUGCCAAUGGCACUGCCCGGUAGCUAAAUGCGGAAGAGAUAAGUGCUGAAAGCAUCUAAGCACGAAACUUGCCCCGAGAUGAGUUCUCCCUGAGACUUAGAGUCUCCUGAAGGAACGUUGAAGACGACGACGUUGAUAGGCCGGGUGUGUAAGCGCAGCGAUGCGUUGAGCUAACCGGUACUAAUGAACCGUGAGGCUUAACCUUAC